AUUGAACGCUGGCGGCAUGCUUUACACAUGCAAGUCGAACGGUAACAGGCCGCAAGGUGCUGACGAGUGGCGAACGGGUGAGUAAUGCAUCGGAACGUGCCCAGUCGUGGGGGAUAACGCAGCGAAAGCUGCGCUAAUACCGCAUACGAUCUAUGGAUGAAAGCGGGGGACCGUAAGGCCUCGCGCGAUUGGAGCGGCCGAUGUCAGGUUAGGUAGUUGGUGGGGUAAAGGCUCACCAAGCCAACGAUCUGUAGCUGGUCUGAGAGGACGACCAGCCACACUGGGACUGAGACACGGCCCAGACUCCUACGGGAGGCAGCAGUGGGGAAUUUUGGACAAUGGGCGCAAGCCUGAUCCAGCAAUGCCGCGUGCAGGAAGAAGGCCUUCGGGUUGUAAACUGCUAUUGUACGGAACGAAACGGCUCUGGUUAAUACCUGGGGCUAAUGACGGUACCGUAAGAAUAAGCACCGGCUAACUACGUGCCAGCCGCCGCGGUAAAAC
rnacentral:rRNA from 1 species